UUAAUUAUGUAAUGAUAAUUACCCAACGACUAUCGCUCCCAGCCAUGCUGGCGAUACGAUGAUAGCAGUCGUACUUAACCUAUUCUAAACCUUUUCUGACUGUCGGUCGAUUUGCGCUGGCUUAUAUUGGCAUCGGGCUCGAUUGUCGUGACGUCACGACAAAGUGAAAAUACCCGCCAUGCUUGUUAGUUGAUAUGCUGCCAUGCCGAUCGAACCGACGAAAGGAAACACGCACCCUAGGACGCGGAUAAUUAUUAUGGGAAACAUUCAUAAUACUUAUCGCUGAUGGACUUUGUAAGCAUAAACAAAACAAUCAUAAACAGUUCAAGCGUGACUUGGGAAUGUAAGAUGUCGAGGAAAUUCGGGCGUCACUAAUUACCGACCUCGUCCCAAUUGUACACUUGAAAAUGUUACUCAUAGUAACGGGAAUAAUUACGGAACCGUAACAUGGCACCCUCCCAUGUGAAGAACAUUCGUCCUCGAAUGGUUUUAUACUUCAAUCAGGGAUUAUUCAAAGAAUAUUUUCACGAUCUAUCCACAGGAGGCUCUAUCUGUCAGCUUUGGCUUGUCCUUUUCUUAUGGUUCAUGAUCCUUGAUUCGUCUACG